AAGUGCAAGCUAUGUAAAAAGACUGUCUGUCAAAAGUGUUGUUCAAAGAUGCGCAUACCGACGGAGCACUUCGCGCACGUGCCGGUGGUGCUGCUGAGCCCCUCUCUGCUGCCCUCUCCCGAGGACGAGGCGCCCUCCUUUCCCCGCAGCCUCGUCUCGCGACUCGUCUCCCCGGAGCACCACGACAACAGCGUGGGCAGCGCGCCGAGCAGCCCGGUGUCGCGGCGCGCGUGCCCGCAGUCUGCGCCGGGGUCGCGCGGCGGGUCGC